UCCGUCGUGGUGUAGUGGCUAGCAUUUGAGACUCUCAUAGUUUCGCGGAUUGCCGAAAGUGAGGACUCUCAGAACCCGGGUUCAAUUCCCGGCGACGGAA